rnacentral:rRNA from 1 species
UACGAAGGGGGCUAGCGUUGCUCGGAAUGACUGGGCGUAAAGGCGCGUAGCGGCUGUGACAAGUCACCGUUUGUGAAAUCUCCGGGCUUAACUCGGAACGGUCAAGUGAUACUGUCGGUGCUAGAGUACAGAAGGGGCAACUGGAAUUCUCGGUGUAGCGGUGAAAUGCGUAGAUAUCGAGCAGGGAACACCUGCGGCGAAGGCGGGUUGCUGGGCUGAUACUGACGUGAGGAGCGAAAGCGUGGG